rnacentral:rRNA from 1 species
UACGUAGGUGGCAAGCGUUUGUCCGGAUUUACUGGGCGUAAAGAGCGCGCAGGCGGUCGUUCAAGUCGCGUGUGAAAGCCCCCGGCUCAACUGGGGAGGGUCACGCGAUACUGAUCGACUGGAAGGCAGGAGAGGGAAGCGGAAUUCCCGGUGUAGCGGUGAAAUGCGUAGAGAUCGGGAGGAACACCCGUGGCGAAGGCGGCCAUCUGGACCAGUACUGACGCUGAGGCACGAAAGCGUGGGGAG